rnacentral:rRNA from 1 species
UACGUAGGGGGCUAGCGUUGUCCGGAUUUAUUGGGCGUAAAGAGCGUUUAGGCGGCCAGGUAGGUCUGCUGUGAAAACUCGAGGCUCAACCUCGAGACGUCGGCGGAAACCAUCUGGCUAGAGUCCGGAAGAGGAGAGUGGAAUUCCUGGUGUAGCGGUGAAAUGCGCAGAUAUCAGGAAGAACACCCGUGGCGAAGGCGGCUCUCUGGGACGGUACUGACGCUGAGACGCGAAAGCGUGGGGAGCGAACAGG